rnacentral:rRNA from 1 species
GACAGAGGGUGCAAACGUUGUUCGGAAUUACUGGGCGUAAAGGGCUCGUAGGCGGCCAACUAAGUCGGAUGUGAAAUCCCCAGGCUUAACCUGGGAACUGCAUCCGAUACUGGAUGGCUUGAAUCCGGGAGAGGGAUGCGGAAUUCCAGGUGUAGCGGUGAAAUGCGUAGAUAUCUGGAGGAACACCGGUGGCGAAGGCGGGUCUCUGGGCAACAACUGACGCUGAGGAGCGAAAGCGUGGGGAGCGAACAGG